rnacentral:rRNA from 1 species
GACGAACGCUGGCGGCGUGCUUAACACAUGCAAGUCGAACGGUAAGGCCCUUCGGGGUACACGAGUGGCGAACGGGUGAGUAACACGUGGGUGAUCUGCCCUGCACUUUGGGAUAAGCCUGGGAAACUGGGUCUAAUACCGAAUAUGACCAUGGACUUCACGGUUUGUGGUGGAAAGCUUUUGCGGUGUGGGAUGGGCCCGCGGCCUAUCAGCUUGUUGGUGGGGUAAUGGCCUACCAAGGCGACGACGGGGUAGCCGGCCUGAGAGGGUGACCGGCCACACUGGGACUGAGAUACGGCCCAGACUCCUACCGGGAGGCAGCAGUGGGAAGUAUUGCACAAUGGGCGCAAGCCUGAUGCAGCGACGCCGCGUGGGGGAUGACGGCCUCGGUUGUAACCGUACUUUCUACCAGGACGAGCGAGAGUGACGGUACCU